UGACAGGUUCAGUCAUUUCUUACAACUGUGAGAGCAUUGCCUCAAAAAUAAUUUCAUUACGGUUCAUUAUGCAAGGAAUGAGCAGAAGAUGGAAAUGAGGCUCUUGCUGCAAAAGGCGUUAUCCACCUCAAACAAGCUCCCCAAGUUCUGUUGACGCAACAAGCAUUCUCGCUUGUUUAUAUUCAUUGUUGUUGCUGCUGAAGAAUGCAGGAUUAUUGUAGGCCACAUUCUAAUGUACUCAUAUUAUUAUUGUGUUCUUGCAGGAUCCCGCCAAGUCAAGGUUCUCCUGUCACGAUCAGGAGAUAGAGCAAGCAUAUGUUGAUCUUCUGGAUUCGUCGAAGAAGACUCUUGGUUGCAUGCUGUAGCUGCUGGAGGUUCUGAGGGCACCAAGGAGUCAGGGAUGACCUUAUUUUUGUAUUUAGAUGACAUAUGACAAAUUGCAAGAUUCACCUCGAUCAAUCCUUCCUUCUGAAUUCCUGAUUGAUCUAUGAAGAACAUGGGCUUGCUGGUUUUAUGGUUUUAUAAUUUCAUUGAACUCAACUGGAUACGGGCAUGGCACGCAUGAGAUCAUGAUGCUGAGUCCGAUACUGGAGAAGUAAUGGUCGUCAAUGUUGAAUAAUGGGUAAUAUUAGGAUCCUUAAAUUCGUCGCUUAGUUAGCUUAAUAUACUUCCCAACGCUCUUCUUGUCAUGUAUACAUACAUGUUGAUUGGCAUAGCCAGUCUGAUCUACCUAUGUACUGGAUGAACCAGUAGUAAUCGACAUCUAUGUUUGGUAUAAAAAAAGAAGUCUCCUUAUAUGAAAUGUGUGGUGGGAGCUUGCUGUUU